UUAUAUUUUUUAAUCUCUUAAAUACAAACAGGCAGACAUACAAAUCUAAUGUCAGCUAUGUUAAACAUCUGGAUUAAAACCAGACUGUCUGGUUGUCUACGUGAGCAGCAGAAUGACAGACAGCCCUGAAGGGGGACAGACAGACAGCAGGGUUUCGGAUCAAAACCCAUUUCAGGUCAAAAUUAGGUCAGGAAGGUCACAAUUCAGACUUGAGUUUUACUAAACGUGGACUUCAGUAAAACAAAAACAAACGAUUUACUGUAAGUCAACUUAUCUCAAGUCUGAAUCAGACCCAAAGUGAACCGAAAGUCAGUCUGGGAGGAAUCCUAGUCCUUGAGACCUCUGUGCACACUUAAAAGUAGACUUCUGUGUAGAUCAUAUGUUGAUGUCACUGGAAGAUGUGUGUGAACAUGUGAGUGCUGACCUCAACUCAGGAUUCAGGAUUUCAAUGAUUGUAUUGAAAUAACAAAUUAUUUUUCUAUUUAGAUUCUGACUAUUGACAAGUAGCAUUUCAAAUGGUCUGAACUGAAAACAGAGUUGACCCCAAUCCUACUAAAUCUCACCCCGGUCUAGUUGAACCCAGAGUUGAUCCCAAUCUUACUGAAUCGUAACCCAGUCCAGUUGAAACCAGAGUUGAACCCAAUCCUACUGAAUCGUAACCCAGUCCAGUUGAAACCAGAGUUGAACCCAAUCCUACUGAAUCGUAACCCCAGUCCAGUUGAAACCAGAGUUGAUCCCAAUCUUACUGAAUCGUAACCCAGUCCAGUUGAAACCAGAGUUGAUCCCAAUCCUACUGAAUCGUAACCCCAGUCCAGUUGAAACCAGAGUUGAUCCCAAUCCUACUGAAUCGUAACCCAGUCCAGUUGAAACCAGAGUUGAACCCAAUCCUACUGAACCCAAUCCUACUGAAUCGUAACCCCGGUCCAGUUGAACCCAGAGUUGAUCCCAAUCCUACUGAAUCGUAACCCCGUCCAGUUGAAACCAGAGUUGAUCCCAAUCCUACUGAAUCGUAACCCAGUCCAGUUGAAACCAGAGUUGAACCCAAUCCUACUGAAUCGUAACCCCAGUCCAGUUGAAACCAGAGUUGAACCCAAUCCUACUGAAUCGUAACCCAGUCCAGUUGAAACCAGAGUUGAACCCAAUCCUACUGAAUCGUAACCCCAUCCAGUUGAAACCAGAGUUGAUCCCAAUCCUACUGAAUCGUAACCCAGUCCAGUUGAAACCAGAGUUGAACCCAAUCCUACUGAAUCGUAACCCCAGUCCAGUUGAAACCAGAGUUGAUCCCAAUCCUACUGAAUCGUAACCCAGUCCAGUUGAAACCAGAGUUGAACCCAAUCCUACUGAAUCGUAACCCCAUCCAGUUGAAACCAGAGUUGAUCCCAAUCCUACUGAAUCGUAACCCAGUCCAGUUGAAACCAGAGUUGAACCCAAUCCUACUGAAUCGUAACCCAGUCCAGUUGAAACCAGAGUUGAUCCCAAUCCUACUGAAUCGUAACCCAGUCCAGUUGAAACCAGAGUUGAACCCAAUCC